ACUGAUGGGUUUGACAACUGCCUCCUCAAAAUGGAGCAGAUGCAUCCCAAUUCAAACUGGAAAAUACCAAAACUGUCUUCCCAACAAAUAGGACCAGUAAUUUAUAUGUGUUAAAUAUUAGACAGUUUACUGACAAAAGGUCAAUGACAAGGUUCAAGUGUGUUCUUAAUGUCAUAAAAGACUCCUUUUUUGGUAAUUUCCAUGCUGUCUAACUCACAGGUACUGAUUUUUCAAAAACCUGCAUCAAAGGGAAUAUUACCUAAGAAUAUUUGCUGUGUAACAUUUACACAAUUGUUUUCACAUCUUCUGCACUGCCAUCUUAUUCAUGGAAAAAUGUCCCAUGACUAAAACGAUGAAACCAUAUUCUUCA
rnacentral:lncRNA from 1 species